rnacentral:rRNA from 1 species
UUGGCUGGGGUGACAGCGUGCCUUUUGAAGAAUGAGCCUGCGAGUUAGUGCUCAGUGGCGAGGUUAACCCGUGUGGGGAAGCCGUAGCGAAAGCGAGUCCGAACAGGGCGAUUCAGUCGCUGGGUCUAGACCCGAAGCGAAGUGAUCUAGCCAUGGGCAGGUUGAAGCGCGGGUAAGACCGCGUGGAGGACCGAACCCACCAGGGUUGAAAACCUGGGGGAUGACCUGUGGUUAGGGGUGAAAGGCCAAUCAAACUUCGUGAUAGCUGGUUCUCCCCGAAAUGCAUUUAGGUGCAGCGUCACGUGUUUCUUGCCGGAGGUAGAGCUACUGGAUGGCCGAUGGGCCCUACAAGGUUACUGACGUCAGCCAAACUCCGAAUGCCGGUAAGUGGAAGCGUGGCAGUGAGACUGCGGGGGAUAAGCUCCGUAGUCGAGAGGGAAACAGCCCAGACCACCGGCUAAGGCCCCUAAGCGUGUGCUAAGUGGGAAAGGAUGUGGAGUUGCACAGACAACCAGGAGGUUGGCUUAGAAGCAGCCACCCUUGAAAGAGUGCGUAAUAGCUCACUGGUCAAGUGAUUCCGCGCCGACAAUGUAGCGGGGCUCAAGUACACCGCCGAAGCCGUGGCAUCUGCGCUCAACUCAGGCCUUCGUGGUCCAGAGGCGCAGGUGGGUAGGGGAGCGUCGUGUGGGCGGUGAAGCCGCGGGGGAACCCAGCGGUGGAGGCCACACGAGUGAGAAUGCAGGCAUGAGUAGCGAAAGACGGGUGAGAAACCCGUCCGCCGAAUGACCAAGGGUUCCAGGGCCAGGUUAAUCCGCCCUGGGUAAGUCGGGACCUAAGGCGAGGCCGACAGGCGUAGUCGAUGGACAAGGAGUUGAUAUUCUCCUACCGGCGAAGAACCGCCCAUACCGAGCCCGGUGAUGCUCACCGCCCAAACCUGUCCACCGGCCCUUCGGGGCCACCGGGCAGGGGCGCGCGGGACCCAAACCGGUAGUAGGUAAGCGUAUUAACAGGGGUGACGCAGGAAGGUAGCCCGGCGUGGCGAUGGUUGACCACGUCCAAGGCUGUAGGCCGUCGGGUAGGCAAAUCCGCCCGGCAUCAAGGCUGAGAGCUGACGGUGAGCGCAC